rnacentral:lncRNA from 1 species
UUUUUUUUUUUUUUUUUUUUUUGAGUAGAAGGACAGCAUGGUAAAAGUCACAUUUUAGGAAUAGAAGUUGGCAACAGUAUGCAAAAUGGAUAGUGUAGGAGGCCAGAAAGUUGGUCAAGAGGAGGCUGGCAAGAGUUAGGCAAGAAGAGAUGAGGUUUGCUCUAAGGUGGACUGGCCACUGAACACAGCCACCAGGUCUGCCACAGUUCUCAGACCUGGUACUCUGCCUUGUGCCACCCUGCCGAGCACUUCCCUAUGUGCCCCCUCCCCCGACCCCCUCUAGCUUUGUGGCAGCUGCUCAUGUUAUAUCCACCUAACACAGGAGACAGAGUCACACAGCUGACUGCCGAACAGUACAGACAAGAGUCAAGCCUAGAUACGUCUAACCCCAAAGUGAAGGCCACUAACUAACCUUCUCUAAAUGGCCCACAGCACGCUGAGCCUUCAGAACAGAAACACUGAUGGGGAGGAAGAAAACAGGAGCCCUCAGCCCUGGAAUACUCUUGCAAGUGUGUUUUAAGAAAGUCUUAAACCUACCGGAAAUACUGUGGUGAGUGAUAAAAUGCUUAGAGGAGAAAGAUGAUGUUCAAGUGUCAAGGAAAUUAAGAAGGUCAAGAAUAGAGUGAACUCUGAAAGGGAAGCUUCUGGAUGAGUGAAAGAAGCUUCUAUUGCACAGCAGGCAGCAGAGCUUUUGAUCUUCAAUAUUUGCAGGAAUGAAUCAGGCUAAACAUGGAAAAAUGGCCACAAAGGGUUUGGACAUAAUAAUGGAUGUUUGUAACUGAUUUUUCUUUUUCUUUUUCUUUUUUCUUUUUUUGUAACUGAUUUUUCAAAACAAACUACAUAUAUGUGGGAGAGAGUUACUUAACUUUCUGAAGUGACACAAGGGAGAGCCAGCCCAUGAUCUCGGCUGGCCUCAAUAAGACAGUCUCAGAUAGAAAGGAGAACAGUAGCCACAGCAUACUCUGUACCAGGCACUGUACUGGCAUCAUCUCAUUCGGUCCUCACGACAGUCAUUUGAGGAAGAAAUUAUUAUCUCCACUCUUUAGAUAAGGAAACUGAGGCAAAGAGAGUUUAGGUAACUUCCACAGGGUCACACAGCUCCAGUACUAGUAAUGCUGGGAUUCCAGCGUAUGUCAAUAGGCUCCAGAAUCAAUGCUCUCUCCCUUAUAGACACUGCCUCCAAAGCGGAUUGACCAUUGAAUUCACUCAGAGGAGGCUUCCAAAUGCUUUUGUGUUCUGGAAUCUUCUCCAAUGACAUAAACUAGGUUCAUACUACUGAAGCAACAAGACCACCUCUCUCUGCCGAGAGGGUACUUAAGCCUCUCAGUCACGGCCCAGCUUCUCUCUGGUUCUAGUUCUUGAAAUCAGCAGUGGGGAGGGUGACCACACUGGGUGGGCUGACCCCAUAAUAGAAGACUUAACACAUUUUGCUUCCCUGCCCACAUGCCUGCGCCGCCUCCUCCUCACAGCUAACCUCAGCACCACCCCCCAGCAAUCUGGAUAGUCCCCGUGCCAUUUGAGAGAACAUUCUUAGUUGUUCACAGUCUCUGGUGUUCACAUAAAGCCAAAGUUAAUGCUCUGGAGUGUUUCCAUCAUCCUGUGACAAAUCUGGACUGGGUAUCAGUAUCGGUCCAAAGGACAUAGCGUCAGGAGGAGGCAGGAGAGAAAGAGCAAAAUAUGGAAGAUGCAUGCAGAUUUAUAAGUACCAUGCAGGAAAAAAAAAAGAAGAAGAAGAAGAAGAAGAAGACCAUUUAAGUAAAUUAAAAAGCAGUAGCAGUGUUCAAAAUAUCAGUGGUGAGCGGACCACAGAUAAUGGGGCUGGAGUCAUCCAAGGUGCCUUUGGAGUUGGCAAAGUGGCCAAGGAGCACAUGGGUUAGAGCACCAGCCUCAGAGCAUGCCCACUGGAGUCUGAGUCCCUGCUUCACCAUUCACCAGUUGCAGAAUCCUGGGCAAGUUGUUAAACCUCUGGGAACCUCCGUUUCCUCUUCUUUAUAAUGAGGGUGAUAAUAAUUGAAAAAGUAAAACAUGGCCUCAGCAGCCAUUAGCUAGGCUGUGAUGGUCCAGUCCUCGGAUAUGAGGGGCCCCAGGCAAAUAUUUUCUGUGGGGCCCUGAAUAUAUAAACAAUUUGAGUGGAACCUUUAAAAAAAGUCAACCUCAGGAGCAGAGUAUUCAAAGUGGUUGCCAGGGGCUCAGGGUGGGGGAGAUAGGGGGGUUAAUAAAAGGGGAAAACUUUCAGCUAUAAGAUAAAUAGGGUCUGAAGACAUAAGCUAUAAUAUGGUGACUGUAGUAGAUAACACUGUAUUGUAUCAUCGACAUUUGCUGAGAGAGUAGAACUUAAAUGUUUCCACCAAACAAAAAAAAGAUGCAUGUGUCAGGUGAUGGAUGUGUUAACUAAUUAGAUGGAGGGAGAUGUUUUGACAACGUACACAUAUAUCAAAUUAUCACAACAUAUACUUUAUUUUUUUAAGAUUUUAUUUAUUUAUUUGACAGAGAGAGAGAGAGCACAAGCAGGGGGGAAUGGCAGGCGGAAGGAGAAGGAGGAGCAGGCUCCCCACUGAGCAGGGAGCCUGACUCGGGGCUCGAUCCCAGGACCCCGGGAUCAUGACCUGAGUCGAAGGCAGACGCUUAACCGACUGAGCCCCCCAGGCGCCCCAUAACAUACACUUUAAAUGUCUUACGAUUUUGUCAGUAAUACCUCAAUAGAGCUGAAAAGAAUUCUUUAAAAAAAGUGCACUAAGAAAUAAAACACUAAAAAUAAACAAACAAACAAACACAAAAACCAGUUUGAAUCAGUCUAGAUCUGCGCACCAGCACCCUGCAGCUCAGUCUCACACAGUUCUGCCAAAGGAACCCUGUGCCGGUAGUGGGAGUAAGUUGCUUGCCAGGAUGCCCUCCUGGAACAGGUGCCCAGACCGGGCCACAGAUGACCACGUGGGCAUGAGUCCUCGAGCUCCUCAGGGCAGCAGGGAGACUCCGUGGUUAGGGUAGAGAUUCAGAGAGUGCUCUGAAGGGGAGACACAGGACUUGGAGCCCACAUGAGCUCCAGUCCAGGCUCAGGGUGCCCCUGCAUGAUGGCACUGUCAGCCCUGGCCAGUUUCAGGCACUGGGGAGGGCUUUGAAAAUCCCAGGCAAGCUGCUCUAAUGUGAGGGGCCCUCAGAGACACCAGGGCGUCUAGAUAGCACUGGCUGCGAUGUUCCUAAAGGAACAUAAACAUCACUCAUGGAAUUAAAACAAUAAUCAGAGACGUUCACCCUAUAACUGUGUUGGAACAAGCCAGCCCCAAAGCUAGUCACAACUAUGUAUGAUCCAAAACAGAGAGAAGGACAUUCAGCAACCACAGAUAUAAGUCAUGUGCCCCUCUUCGGACUACUUUGUGUGACUACUGCUUCUCUAUGAUGGCAGCUCUAUCUACUUUAAUCCUUCAUGCCCCCAGGGGAAAAAAAAA